AUUGAACGCUGGCGGCAUGCCUUACACAUGCAAGUCGAACGGUAACAGGUCUUCGGAUGCUGACGAGUGGCGAACGGGUGAGUAAUACAUCGGAACGUGCCUAGUAGUGGGGGAUAACUACUCGAAAGAGUGGCUAAUACCGCAUGAGAUCUACGGAUGAAAGCAGGGGAUCGCAAGACCUUGUGCUACUAGAGCGGCCGUUGGCCGAUUAGGUAGUUUGUGGGAUAAAGGCUUACCAAGCCGGCGAUCUUGAGCUGGUCUGAGAGGACGAUCAGCCACACUGGGGCUAGGACACGGGCCAGGCUCCGACGGGAGGCAGCAGUGGGGAAUUUUGGACAAUGGGCGAAAGCCUGAUUCAGCAAUGCCGCGUGCAGGAUGAAGGCCUUCGGGUUGUAAACUGCUUUUGUACGGAACGAAAAGCCCCGGGUUAAUACCCUGGGGUCAUGACGGUACCGUAAGAAUAAGCACCGGCUAACUACGUGCCAGCCGCCGCAGUAA
rnacentral:rRNA from 1 species